CCUACGGGGGGCUGCAGUGGGGAAUAUUGCGCAAUGGGCGAAAGCCUGACGCAGCGACGCCGCGUGGGUGAUGAAGGCCUUCGGGUUGUAAAGCCCUGUCGGGUGGAACGAACGAUCUGGCGGCGAAUAACCGCCGGGUGUGACGGUACCACCGAAGGAAGCCCCGGCUAACUACGUGCCAGCAGCCGCGGUAAGACGUAGGGGGCGAGCGUUGUUCGGAUUUACUGGGCGUAAAGCGCGCGUAGGCGGCGAAAGCCCUCGGCUUAACCGAGGUCCAGCAGCCGAUACUGUCUGGCGCGAGUCUAGGAGAGGAAAGCGGAAUUCCCAGUGUAGCGGGGAAAUGCGUAGAUAGUGGGAGGAGCACCGGUGGCGAAGGCGGCUUUCCGGACUAGUACUGACGCUGAGGCGCGAAAGCUAGGGGAGCGAACGGGAUUAGAGACCCGUGUAGUC
rnacentral:rRNA from 1 species